AGUGAACGCUGGCGGUAGGCCUAACACAUGCAAGUCGAACGGCAGCACAGUAAGAGCUUGCUCUUACGGGUGGCGAGUGGCGGACGGGUGAGGAAUACAUCGGAAUCUACUUUUUCGUGGGUGAUAACGUAGGGAAACUUACGCUAAUACCGCAUACGACCUACGGGUGAAAGCAGGGGAUCUUCGGACCUUGCGCGAUUGAAUGAGCCGAUGUCGGAUUAGCUAGUUGGCGGGGUAAAGGCCCACCAAGGCGACGAUCCGUAGCUGGUCUGAGAGGAUGAUCCGCCACACUGGAACUGAGACACGGUCCAGACUCCUACGGGAGGCAGCAGUGGGGAAUAUUGGACAAUGGGCGCAAGCCUGAUCCAGCCAUGCCGCGUGGGUGAAGAAGGCCUUCGGGUUGUAAAGCCCUUUUGUUGGGAAAGAAAAGCAGCAGGUUAAUACCCGGCUGUUCUGACGGUACCCAAAGAAUAAGCACCGGCUAACUUCGUG
rnacentral:rRNA from 1 species